rnacentral:rRNA from 1 species
ACCUGACGCAGCGACGCCGCGUGCGGGAAGAAGGCCUUCGGGUUGUAAACCGCUUUCAGGAGGGACGAGGCCACUCGGGUUAAUAGCCCAGAGGGUGACGGUACCUCCAGAAGAAGCCCCGGCUAACUACGUGCCAGCAGCCGCGGUAAUACGUAGGGGGCUAGCGUUGUCCGGAUUUAUUGGGCGUAAAGAGCGCGUAGGCGGCCGAGUAAGUCCGACGUGAAAUCUGGAGGCUCAACCUCCAGCGGUCGUUGGAAACUACUCGGCUAGAGUCCGGAGGAGGAGAGUGGAAUUCCUGGUGUAGCGGUGAAAUGCGCAGAUAUCAGGAAGAACACCGAUGGCGAAAGCAGCUCUCUGGGACGGUACUGACGCUGAGGCGCGAAAGCGUGGGGAGCGAACAGGAUUAGAUACCCUGGUAGUCCACGCCGUAAACGAUGGGUGCUAGGUGUGGGCGGUGUCGACUUCGCCCGUGCCGAAGCUAACGCAUUAAGCACCCCGCCUGGGGAGUACGGCCGCAAGGCUA